GUAAGCUACUAAGAGCGAAUGGUGGAUGCCUUGACUGGUAAAGGCGAUGAAGGACGUACUAGACUGCGAUAAGCUACGGGGAGCUGUCAAGAAGCUUUGAUCCGUAGAUUUCCGAAUGGGGCAACCCAAUGUAUAGAGAUAUACAUUACCUAUAUAGGAGCGAACGAGGGGAAUUGAAACAUCUUAGUACCCUCAGGAAAAGAAAUCAAUAGAGAUUGCGUCAGUAGCGGCGAGCGAAAGCGCAAGAGGGCAAACCCAGUGCUUGCACUGGGGGUUGUAGGACUGCAAUGUGCAAGAGGUAAGUUUAGCAGAACAUUCUGGAAAGUAUAACCAUAGAGGGUGAUAGUCCCGUAUGCGAAAAACAAACCUUAGCUAGCAGUAUCCUGAGUAGGGCGGGACACGAGGAAUCCUGUCUGAAUCCGGGUCGACCACGAUCCAACCCUAAAUACUAAUACCAGAUCGAUAGUGCACAAGUACCGUGAGGGAAAGGUGAAAAGAACUGAGGUGAUCAGAGUGAAAUAGAACCUGAAACCAUUUGCUUACAAUCAUUCAGAGCCCUAUGUAGCAAUACAGGGUGAUGGACUGCCUUUUGCAUAAUGAGCCUGCGAGUUGUGGUGUCUGGCAAGGUUAAGCAAACGCGAAGCCGUAGCGAAAGCGAGUCUGAAUAGGGCGCUUAGUCAGAUGCUGCAGACCCGAAACGAAGUGAUCUAUCCAUGAGCAAGUUGAAGCUAGUGUAAGAACUAGUGGAGGACUGAACCCAUAGGCGUUGAAAAGCCCCGGGAUGACUUGUGGAUAGGGGUGAAAGGCCAAUCAAACUUCGUGAUAGCUGGUUCUCUCCGAAAUAUAUUUAGGUAUAGCGUUGUGUCGUAAUAUAAGGGGGUAGAGCACUGAAUGGGCUAGGGCAUACACCAAUGUACCAAACCCUAUCAAACUCCGAAUACCUUAUAUGUAAUCACAGCAGUCAGGCGGCGAGUGAUAAAAUCCGUCGUCAAGAGGGAAACAACCCAGACUACCAGCUAAGGUCCCUAAAUCUUACUUAAGUGGAAAACGAUGUGAAGUUACUUAAACAACCAGGAGGUUGGCUUAGAAGCAGCCAUCCUUUAAAGAAAGCGUAAUAGCUCACUGGUCUAGUGAUUUUGCGCGGAAAAUAUAACGGGGCUAAAGUAAGUACCGAAGCUGUAGACUUGCACACAACUUAGAUUAUUUAAGUUUAGAAUAUGAGAAACUAAGUUAUAUGUUUAGUUAUAUUUUUACUGAUUUUUAUAGAGUAAAGAUAGAAAUAAAACUUAGUAAAAUCAGUAAAAAUAUUCUUAGACUAAAGUUAAGUAGUUUAAGUUGUGUGCAAGUGGUAGGAGAGCGUUCUAUUUGCGUCGAAGGUAUACCGGUAAGGAGUGCUGGAGCGAAUAGAAGUGAGCAUGCAGGCAUGAGUAGCGAUAAUUAAUGUGAGAAUCAUUAACGCCGUAAACCCAAGGUUUCCUACGCGAUGCUCGUCAUCGUAGGGUUAGUCGGGUCCUAAGUCGAGUCCGAAAGGGGUAGACGAUGGCAAAUUGGUUAAUAUUCCAAUACCAACAUUAGUGUGCGAUGGAAGGACGCUUAGGGCUAAGGGGGCUAGCGGAUGGAAGUGCUAGUCUAAGGUCGUAGGAGGUUAUACAGGCAAAUCCGUAUAACAAUACUCCGAGAACUGAAAGGCUUUUUGAAGUCUUCGGAUGGAUAGAAGAACCCCUGAUGCCGUCGAGCCAAGAAAAGUUUCUAAGUUUAGCUAAUGUUGCCCGUACCGUAAACCGACACAGGUGGGUGGGAUGAGUAUUCUAAGGCGCGUGGAAGAACUCUCUUUAAGGAACUCUGCAAAAUAGCACCGUAUCUUCGGUAUAAGGUGUGGUUAGCUUUGUAUUAGGAUUUACUCCGAAAGCAAGGAAACUUACAACAAAGAGUCCCUCCCGACUGUUUACCAAAAACACAGCACUCUGCUAACUCGUAAGAGGAUGUAUAGGGUGUGACGCCUGCCCGGUGCUCGAAGGUUAAUUGAUGGGGUUAGCAUUAGCGAAGCUCUUGAUCGAAGCCCGAGUAAACGGCGGCCGUAACUAUAACGGUCCUAAGGUAGCGAAAUUCCUUGUCGGUUAAAUACCGACCUGCAUGAAUGGCGUAACGAGAUGGGAGCUGUCUCAAAGAGGGAUCCAGUGAAAUUGUAGUGGAGGUGAAAAUUCCUCCUACCCGCGGCAAGACGGAAAGACCCCGUGGACCUUUACUACAGCUUGACACUGCUACUUGGAUAAGAAUGUGCAGGAUAGGUGGGAGGCUUUGAGUAUAUGACGCCAGUUGUAUAUGAGCCAUUGUUGAGAUACCACUCUUUCUUAUUUGGGUAGCUAACCAGCUUGAGUUAUCCUCAAGUGGGACAAUGUCUGGUGGGUAGUUUGACUGGGGCGGUCGCCUCCCAAAUAAUAACGGAGGCUUACAAAGGUUGGCUCAGAACGGUUGGAAAUCGUUCGUAGAGUAUAAAGGUAUAAGCCAGCUUAACUGCAAGACAUACAAGUCAAGCAGAGACGAAAGUCGGUCUUAGUGAUCCGGUGGUUCUGUGUGGAAGGGCCAUCGCUCAAAGGAUAAAAGGUACCCCGGGGAUAACAGGCUGAUCUCCCCCAAGAGCUCACAUCGACGGGGAGGUUUGGCACCUCGAUGUCGGCUCAUCGCAUCCUGGGGCUGGAGCAGGUCCCAAGGGUAUGGCUGUUCGCCAUUUAAAGCGGUACGCGAGCUGGGUUCAGAACGUCGUGAGACAGUUCGGUCCCUAUCUGCCGUGGGCGUAAGAAGAUUGAAGAGAUUUGACCCUAGUACGAGAGGACCGGGUUGAACAAACCACUGGUGUAGCUGUUGUUCUGCCAAGAGCAUCGCAGCGUAGCUAAGUUUGGAAAGGAUAAACGCUGAAAGCAUCUAAGCGUGAAGCCAACUCUAAGAUGAAUCUUCUCUAAGCU
rnacentral:rRNA from 1 species